UACGUAGGGUGCAAGCGUUGUCCGGAAUUAUUGGGCGUAAAGAGCUCGUAGGCGGUUUGUCGCGUCUGCGGUGAAAACCCGAGGCUCAACCUCGGGCCUGCAGUGGGUACGGGCAGACUAGAGUGCGGUAGGGGAGAUUGGAAUUCCUGGUGUAGCGGUGGAAUGCGCAGAUAUCAGGAGGAACACCAAUGGCGAAGGCAGAUCUCUGGGCCGUAACUGACGCUGAGGAGCGAAAGCAUGGGGAGCGAACAGG
rnacentral:rRNA from 1 species